GAAAUGAAAUGCAAAAAUGAAAUCCUUCAGCUUGGACUCAUUAACCAAACACCACGCUAUCUACGCAAAUAUUUCUCCCUAUUUGUUUGUUUAAAGCUGGCCAAGAGUCAGGCUGUGAGUUCCAGAAAUACUUUUCAAGAUAACAGAAAUGGGCAUCCGAAUCCAAAAGGAAUUCUGUAUUUAGAAAUUCUGGAAUACUACAGGCGGGGUGGCUCUGCUGUUAACUAUUUUCUGGUUGCUCUGAAUCUCCGUGGCUUUGGAAAGUGAGUCAUGACAUUCUUCAUUAUAGAAAUGUUUUUCCCAUUGUAGAUGAUUUUAAAAAAUACAUACCCCAGGGGAAUCUAAUAAUACAAUACCCAUCUCUAGUCACAUUGUUGCUUUCAAUAGGGCUUUGCUUGAGAGAGACUAAAUCAAGCCAUUUCCCACGGGCAGCACAGGGCAAGAGCUGUCAAGGCUCAGCACUCCCAGAGCCCACGUGCACUCGGUGCAGAAGCAGCACCCAGCCUAAUGCUUGGGACAGCAGGAACCGAGUGGUGCAUGUUGGUUUAUCAAGGCAGCCCUAAGACUGGCCUCCUGCUGCAGAGCAUGCUUGGGAACACCAGGCCUUCGCUAGAAGUUCACAUGAAUUCAAGCUUACAGGGAACUCAUGCAAAGUCCUGUGCCUUGACAGCCAGCAAUGCAGCUCUCACAGCACUGCACAAUUUUUCAUUACCCAGUGAGGGAACAGUUUGCAAACUUGCUUGUGGCCUUCUGCAUCCAGAUCAGGAGCAGUGCGUGCAGAGCUGCUGCAGAGCUGAGGAUGAACUUCCCAUGGUGAUGAAGAGGCACGAAGGAAUGUUUCUAAGUGCCCAGCUGCCUGCAUUCUUGUUCAGCACAUUCCUUAAAGACUGCUGAGAUGUAAUUGUAUUAGUAAUGAUAUGUUACAGUGCCUCGAGACCUGGAUAAAUAACUAAUGAGGCAUCUUAGUCAAAAUAAAAAAGAUUUUCCCUCCUGG